UGUAUACUAUACUGUCUGUAGGGGUGAUAGGGAUUAGGUUGUAUUCUAUACUGUCUGUAGGGGUGAUAGGGAUUAGGUUGUAUACUAUACUGUCUGUAGGGGUGAUAGGGAUUAGGUUGUAUACUAUACUGUCUGUAGGGGUGAUAGAGAUUAGGUUGUAUUCUAUACUGUCUGUAGGGGUGAUAGGGAUUAGGUUGUAUACUAUACUGUCUGUAGGGGUGAUAGGA